rnacentral:rRNA from 1 species
GCACAAGCGGUGGAGCAUGUGGAUUAAUUCGAUGCAACGCGAAGAACCUUACCUGGGUUUGACAUGCACAGGACGCGUCUAGAGAUAGGCGUUCCCUUGUGGCCUGUGUGCAGGUGGUGCAUGGCUGUCGUCAGCUCGUGUCGUGAGAUGUUGGGUUAAGUCCCGCAACGAGCGCAACCCUUGUCUCAUGUUGCCAGCGGGUAAUGCCGGGGACUCGUGAGAGACUGCCGGGGUCAACUCGGAGGAAGGUGGGGAUGACGUCAAGUCAUCAUGCCCCUUAUGUCCAGGGCUUCACACAUGCUACAAUGGCCGGUACAAAGGGCUGCGAUGCCGCAAGGUUAAGCGAAUCCUUUUAAAGCCGGUCUCAGUUCGGAUCGGGGUCUGCAACUCGACCCCGUGAAGUCGGAGUCGCUAGUAAUCGCAGAUCAGCAACGCUGCGGUGAAUACGUUCCCGGGC